UACGAAGGGUGCAAGCGUUAAUCGGAAUUACUGGGCGUAAAGCGCGCGUAGGUGGUUCAGCAAGUUGGAUGUGAAAUCCCCGGGCUCAACCUGGGAACUGCAUCCAAAACUACUGAGCUAGAGUACGGUAGAGGGUGGUGGAAGUUCCUGUGUAGCGGUGACAGGCGUAGCUCGAGGAAGGAACACCAGUGGCGAAGGCGACCACCUGGACUGAUACUGACACUGAGGUGCUAAAGCAUGGGGAGCAAACAGUAUUAGAUACCCCCGUAGUCC
rnacentral:rRNA from 1 species